GCAAGUCGUACGAGAAAUCUUCAGCUUGCUGAAGAGAGUAAAGUGGCGCACGGGUGAGUAACGCGUGGGUAAUCUACCCUCGAAUUUGGGAUCACAUUGCGAAAUCGAUGCUAAUACCGGAUAAUAUUCAUUGGGCUUUGGUCUGGUGGAUCAAAGGUGGCCUCUACAUGUAAGUUACUGUUUGGGGAUGAGCCCGCGUACCAUUAGCUAGUUGGCAGGGUAAUGGCCUACCAAGGCAGCGAUGGUUAGCUGGUCUGAGAGGAUGAUC
rnacentral:rRNA from 1 species